AUUGAACGCUGGCGGCAGGCUUAACACAUGCAAGUCGAGCGAGCGGCGGACGGGUGAGUAAUGUCUGGGAAACUGCCUGAUGGAGGGGGAUAACUACUGGAAACGGUAGCUAAUACCGCAUACCAUCAGAUGUGCCCAGAUGGGAUUAGCUAGUAGGUGGGUGAAUGGCUCACCUAGGCGACGAUCCCUAGCUGGUCGGAGGGGAUUACCAGCCAACUUGGAACGGGAACACGGUCCAGACUCCUACGGGAGGCAGCAGUGGGGAAUAUUGCAAAAUGGGCGCAAGCCUGAUGCAGCCAUGCCGCGUGUGUGAAGAAGGCCUUCGGGUUGUAAAGCACUUUCAGCGAGGAGGCGUUACUCGCAGAAGAAGCCACGGCUAACUACGUGCCAGCCGCCGCGGUAAUAC
rnacentral:rRNA from 1 species